GGACAGAUGGGAGCUUGCUCCCUGAUGUUAGCGGCGGACGGGUGAGUAACACGUGGGUAACCUGCCUGUAAGACUGGGAUAACUCCGGGAAACCGGGGCUAAUACCGGAUGGUUGUUUGAACCGCAUGGUUCAGACAUAAAAGGUGGCUUCGGCUACCACUUACAGAUGGACCCGCGGCGCAUUAGCUAGUUGGUGAGGUAACGGCUCACCAAGGCGACGAUGCGUAGCCGACCUGAGAGGGUGAUCGGCCACACUGGGACUGAGACACGGCCCAGACUCCUACGGGAGGCAGCAGUAGGGAAUCUUCCGCAAUGGACGAAAGUCUGACGGAGCAACGCCGCGUGAGUGAUGAAGGUUUUCGGAUCGUAAAGCUCUGUUGUUAGGGAAGAACAAGUGCCGUUCAAAUAGGGCGGCACCUUGACGGUACCUAACCAGAAAGCCACGGCUAACUA
rnacentral:rRNA from 1 species